rnacentral:rRNA from 1 species
GUACGUGUAGCCCGAGCUUGCUCUCGGGUGACGAGUGGCGGACGGGUGAGUAAUGUCUGGGAAACUGCCUGAUGGAGGGGGAUAACUACUGGAAACGGUAGCUAAUACCGCAUAACGUCCCAAGACCAAAGAGGGGGACCUUCGGGCCUCUUGCCAUCAGAUGUGCCCAGAUGGGAUUAGCUAGUAGGUGGGGUAACGGCUCACCUAGGCGACGAUCCCUAGCUGGUCUGAGAGGAUGACCAGCCACACUGGAACUGAGACACGGUCCAGACUCCUACGGGAGGCAGCAGUGGGGAAUAUUGCACAAUGGGCGCAAGCCUGAUGCAGCCAUGCCGCGUGUAUGAAGAAGGCCUUCGGGUUGUAAAGUACUUUCAGCGGGGAGGAAGGCGAUAAGGUUAAUAACCUUGUCGAUUGACGUUACCCGCAGAAGAAGCACCGGCUAACUCCGUGCCAGC